rnacentral:lncRNA from 1 species
CUAAGAGAUUGGAGCUGCGCGUUCACAAGACCACGCUGUUUUUUCUUUUCCUCUUUGAAUUAAUACACUAUUGUCCGGUUGGAAUAUUAUCGCUAUUUUACGAGAAAAAUACCAUAAAAAAUUAUUUUAAACAGCGUUUGACAUGCUUCUAAGUAAGGUAAUGGAACAUUUUGAAUUUUUUUGCCUCGAAAUGCCUACCCUUUGGAUAGAGACCUGAACGCACAAACAAAAUGGAGGUAUUUGGAGAUAACUAUGGAUUAUUUGGAACAAAAAACACAUUUCUUGUGGAAGUAGCAGUCCUGGGAGUGCAUUCUGACGAAGAUCAGCAAAGGAUAGGUAAGAAAGUUGGACCGGCAAAGGUGAAGUACUGUGAAGAAGUAUGCCUUGGAGGAAAAGUGUUGUGAAUCACGUUCACUGGUCAUUCUCAACAUAAACACCGGGGAAGGAGGCAGUGGCCAAGUGGAAUUCAGUGGCCAACCACAUACAGAACGUCCACACUCAUGAGAAUAGUUUUUCCCCAACUGUCAGCACCAGCCUCUCAUUGGUGAACAGACCAGGCUGUGGCUCAAGCCAAAUACAGCCGCAUGCCAGAAGCUGAACGUAAUACUACUGGAACCAAGACUUCUGAAGGACAUCGAGAAGAUGAGUCCACACUUCCAG